rfam:Ovis aries breed Texel chromosome 3, whole genome shotgun sequence.
UCCCUGGUGGCUCAGAGGUUAAAGCAUCUGCCUGGAAUGCUGGAGACCUGGGUUCGAUCCCUGGGUCGGGAA